rfam:Clostridiales bacterium 52_15 Ley3_66761_scaffold_2864, whole genome shotgun sequence.
UCAGGUCCGACGUAGUAAGCGGGAAACCGCCGAAAUCAGUACCUUUAUGGAAGGAUGACUCGUACUCUGCCUUUUGGCUAAAACACUCCUUUGAUGUAGUCGCUCGGACGCUGCUUGCAUGGCACGGUUUACGCGGACCGUGUUUCAUGGGCGGUACUACUAUGCAGUUACUUUUACGCGUGAAAUCCUGCAACACUGUACGAAGGGGACAAUUUUUAAUGACAAGCG